UUUAACCAUAUCUGGAUGUUUUAGGAGC
rnacentral:piRNA from 1 species